GUGCUGCGGCGAGUGAGCGGGAUGAGCUCAAAUUUAAAAUCUGGCAGUCUAAGAUUGUCCGAGUUGUAGUCUAGAGAAGCGUUUUCCGCGUAGGCCUGUGUACAAGUCCCUUGGAAUAGGGCGUCAUAGAGGGUGAGAAUCCCGUCCUUGACACAGAUCAUCUAUGCUCUGCGAUGCGCUCUCGAAGAGUCGAGUUGUUUGGGAAUGCAGCUCAAAAUGGGUGGUAAAUUCCAUCUAAAGCUAAAUAUUGGCGAGAGACCGAUAGCGAACAAGUACCGUGAGGGAAAGAUGAAAAGCACUUUGGAAAGAGAGUUAAACAGUACGUGAAAUUGUUGAAAGGGAAACGAUUGAAGUCAGUCAUGUGGUUUGAGGUUCAGCCGGUUCUGCCGGUGUAUUCCUCAGACUACAGGCCAGCAUCAGUUUCGACCGGUGGAAAAAGUUGGAGGGAACGUGGCAUCCUCGGAUGUGUUAUAGCCCUCUUUCACAUGCAUCGGACGGGACUGAGGAACGCAGCGUGCCUUUAUGGUCGGUCUUCGGACACGAACGCGCUUAGGAUGCUGGCAUAAUGGCUUUAAACGACCCGUCUUGAACAACCG
rnacentral:rRNA from 1 species